rnacentral:rRNA from 1 species
GUGCCAGCCGCCGCGGUAAUACGGGGGGGGCAAGCGUUGUUCGGAAUUACUGGGCGUAAAGGGUUCGUAGGUGGCCUGCUAAGUCAGACGUGAAAUCCCUCAGCUCAACUGGGGAACUGCGUCUGAGACUGGUGGGCUUGAGUGCAGGAGAGGAACGCGGAAUUCCAGGUGUAGCGGUGAAAUGCGUAGAUAUCUGGAGGAACACCGGUGGCGAAGGCGGCGUUCUGGACUGUUACUGACACUGAGGAACGAAAGCCAGGGGAGCAAACGGGAUUAGAUACCCUGGUAGUCC